AGAAAGCAACCGGAGCCCAGAGAUGUCAAGUGACAGGCUCAAGGUCACACAGCAGUUCUCUCCCAGGACCUGGACGAGCCCUGGUCAUCCAACAAGCCCCCGCUGAGCCCAGUGGAUCUGUGGCUGGAGAGCCCUGGAUUCCAGAUGGUAUUGAUCAGUAAGAUCCUGGCUAAUCCUGGUUUUAUAAGGGGCCUGAAGGAAGAGAAGGAGCCAGCAGCAUAGAUCUCAGAGGAGCUUCAACGUCAGCCAGAGUGUCAUGAGUCCUAGUUCUGGGAAGUGCUGGGCUCUGGUUAAAAGCUAGGAGCUCCAUGGAUGCAUGCUGCAUGUUAAGUUGCCUCAGUCAUGUCCAACCCUUUGCACCUCCAUGAACCAUGGCCCAUCAGGCUCCUCUGCCCAUGAGACUCUCCAGGAGGGUUCUUUACCUCUAGCGCCACCUGGGAAGCCUCACCACCAAAGAAGAAGAUGGAUAUUUCUCCUGUGUCUCUUCUCUGUGGACUUUCAGCCCAAAUGAGCCCUAGACAGUGAUUUCCUUCCAUCCUCUCACAAGUCUGGGACUCUCCUUCCAUGUUCACCCCAACAAGGAGGUGGAGCACAGGGUCACCAUCACCUGAAUAUCAUCCUGGUGAAGUUCUCAAAUCUUUCCAUCAAAGAAACCCUAAGAAGGGAGGACACCAGCAGGUCUCCCUUGGGGAAGUCCAGCGACAUGCGCCAAAGCUGGUCCCACAAGCCAAAAUGCCUUUAGUCUCUUGUUUAUCCUUAAAAUGCACGUAUACAAUUCUGCUUCAUGAUCUAUACAUGUGACUCUCCAUGUGAUGAAAUAUGCCUGCACUUAAUCAUUCUCCUGAAAGAUGAGCUAAGUUUACAUGUGAUUCCCCGGGCCUCUGGCAUCCUGCAUGGACUCCAGGGACAUGGGCACCCAGGAUUAAGAUGCACAAAGCAGAGGAACCCCAGCCUCGGGUUCUAAUCAUCACUUGCUAUGGACACAUUGUAUGCCGUUGCUUGAACAAAGAGAGGGGCUGUUGGGGCUCUUGGUUCCACCUUCCCAGGCAGCUCAUGACCCCGAGGAUCCCAGUGCAGGGAAGCACAAGGUGGAUGACCAAAAACCGGAGCUAGAGGUGUGGGUGCAAGAGUGGGGAUCUGGGAAGAAUGUUCUGGCCAGAGGCUCUCCCCUCUCCACCGGAAGGAAUAUAGCAAAUCCCCUAAGAAGGGGGAUGUAGAACCUGUGUCAAAGGCCUCCUAGCUGGGGACCAACAACUGCCAGUAGCUUCCAGGAGAUCUGGUACCUAGCACAGUCCUUGCACAUAAUAAUCCUUAAUCAACAUUUGUUGAAUGGAUAGAUGAAUCAAUGGCGAAU
ensembl:lncRNA